CCAGUAUCAGAAAAAACACAUAGGAAAGCAUUAAGGUAAUACACAUGUGCCUUAGGGUGAGUGAAUAAACACUUUAUUUGACCCUUCACAUCAUUGAGGGGAGAGAAGUGGGUUCCAUGGGGUCUGAGGAACACAUUGUUAAGAAUACAUCUUUCCUUCCCAGCAUGAAAGUAUUCCUUUAUUCUCCAGCCGUGCUAAAAAUGGAUACUUUUCAUUGUACUGAUGUGGGUAGCCCGGUCAUUCUCCACAUUUUAGAUCUAAUGCGGUUGACGACCACACAUAAAUAACAAGAGAAGGGCUAUUCAGGAAAGUAAUUCCUACUAGUUAAGGGCAGCAAGAAAUCAAUAUCCUUAUGCUGCCCUAAGAUUCACA